rnacentral:lncRNA from 1 species
GGCCAACAAGUGGCGCCAACAAAUCAUGCGCGAGAUCGGCCGGAAAAUCGCUGAGAUCCAAAAUGAAGGUGAGACGAAGCGAGAGCGGCGGUGAUUGAAGCGGUGGAGUAUUUGAGAUGAAGCGCUUCACGGCGGGGGGUGAAGCAGAAGAUGGCAGAGGCGACGAGGCCGGGGCAGAGACGACGAGGCCGGGGGCGGCGGCGCUUUGCGGCGGGGGGCGAACCAGGAGAAGGCGGAGGCGGCGAUCUGAGCUCGAAGGGAGGGAGGGAGAGAGAG